GUGCCAGCAGCCGCGGUAAUACGGAGGAUGCAAGCGUUAUCCGGAAUUAUUGGGCGUAAAGCGUCCGCAGGUGGUUUUUCAAGUCUGCUGUUAAAGCGCGAGGCUUAACUUCGUAACGGCGGUGGAAACUGAGAGACUAGAGUAUGGUAGGGGUAGCGGGAAUUCCCAGUGUAGCGGUGAAAUGCGUAGAUAUUGGGAAGAACACCAGCGGCGAAAGCGCGCUACUGGGCCAUUACUGACACUCAUGGACGAAAGCUAGGGGAGCGAAAGGGAUUAGAUACCCGCGUAGUCC
rnacentral:rRNA from 1 species